AACGAACGCUGGCGGCGUGCCUAACACAUGCAAGUCGAGCGCGAAAGGAGCAAUCCGAGUAGAGCGGCGCACGGGUGCGUAACACGUGGGUAAUCUGCCUCAGGGAUGGAGAUAACUUUUCGAAAGAAGAGCUAAUAUCCGGUAAGCUUACGAGCUCUUCGGAGUUUGUGAGAAAAGUAGACCUCUGUUUACAAGUUUACGCCCGGAGAUGAGCCCGCGGCCCAUCAGCUAGUUGGCGGGGUAACGGCCCACCAAGGCAACGACGGUAGCUGGUCUGAGAGGACGAUCAGCCACACUGGAACUGAGACACGGUCCAGACUCCUACGGGAGGCAGCAGUGGGGAAUUUUCCACAAUGGGCGAAAGCCUAUGGAGCAACGCCGCGUGUGUGAU
rnacentral:rRNA from 1 species